GUGUGUGUGUGUGUGUGUGUGUGUGUGUGUGUCUGUGUGUCUGUGUGUCUGUGUGUCUGUGUGUGUGUGUGUGUGUGCGUGUGUGUGUGUGUGUCUGUGUGUGUGUGUGUGUGUGUAAUCAGAGCCUUGUGUGCGUGUACUAAUUUGAGUGUCCAACUUAUUAUUUAUGUGUGUGUACAAAAAAAUGUGUCUUAUCAGUAUUUCACUGUGCAUGUCCAAAAAGGUUUGUGUGUCCUUAUAGUGAUUUGUGCAAAACAAGACCCUUUGGUAGGUUGUUUAUUUACACAAUACUUGUGCUACAGUCCUGCCGUGUAAGAUGUGUGUGUGUGUGUGUCUUACAAUCUGUCUGUCAGUAUUUUGGUGUGUGUGUGUAAUCACAUUGGUGUGAAGCAGCAGCCCUGAUUGGCUGUUUACAGACAUGUGACUUGUGUGCACAUGCAACUUGUCCUCUCACUAAAUAAUGACAUCGCUCCUUUAUCUGUAAAUAACAAUAUAUCAAUAAUACAUGUCAGUGUGUAUCUGUAAAUCAUAUAUCUAAUACACACACACAAAUCUUAUUACCCACACAAAUCUGAAUACACACACAAUGAUCUUGACACACAAUUCUGAAUACGCACACACAAAUUGUAUUACUCACACAAGAAAAUGUUAUCACACAAAUCAGAAUACAGACACACAUAUUUUGACCCAUAGAUUGAAAUGCAGACUGACAUUUUUUAUUUUAACAUGCACACCAAUCAUAAUAGACACACACACACUUGCAUGUGAUGAUAAGAGUGAGGUGAUAAGAGUGAGGUGAUAAGAGUGAGGUGAUAAGAGUGAGGUGUAAAGAGUGAGAUGAUAAGAGUGAGGUGAUAAGAGUGAGGUGAUAAGAGUGAGGUGAUAAGAGUGAGGUGAUACGAGUGAGGUGAUAAGAGUGAGGUGUAAAGAGUGAGGUGAUAAGAGUGAGGUGAUAAGAGUGAGGUGUAAAGAGUGAGGUGAUAAGAGUGAGGUGU